rnacentral:rRNA from 1 species
UACGUAGGGGGCAAGCGUUGUCCGGAAUCAUUGGGCGUAAAGCGUGUGUAGGCGGCUUGGCAAGUUGGAUGUGAAAGCCCACGGCUCAACCGUGGAAGCGCACCCAAAACUGCUUCGCUCGAGUCUCGGAGAGGAAGGUGGAAUGCUUGGUGUAGAGGUGAAAUUCGUAGAUAUCAAGCAGAACACCUGCGGCGAAGGCGGCCUUCUGGACGAUGACUGACGCUGAGACACGAAAGCGUGGGGAGCAAACAGG